rnacentral:rRNA from 1 species
UAGGGAAUCUUCGGCAAUGGACGAAAAGUCUGACCGAGCAACGCCGCGUGAGUGAAGAAGGUUUUCGGAUCGUAAAACUCUGUUGGUAGAGAAGAACGUUGGUGAGAGUGGAAAGCUCAUCAAGUGACGGUAACUACCCAGAAAGGGACGGCUAACUACGUGCCAC